rnacentral:tRNA from 1 species
AUUUAUAUAGUUUAAUAAAACAUUACAUUUUCAUUGUAAAAUUAAAAUAUAUUUUUUUAUAAAUU